rnacentral:rRNA from 1 species
AUUGAACGCUGGCGGCAGGCCUAAAACAUGCAAGUCGAACGAGUGGCGGACGGGUGAGUAAUGUAUGGGAAACUGCCUGAUGGAGGGGGAUAACUAAUGGAAACGGUAGCUAAUACCGCAUACCAUCAGAUGUGGCCAGAUGGGAUUCGCUAGUUGGUGGGGUAACGGCUAAACAAGGCGACGAUCCCUAGCUGGUCGGAGAGGAUGACCAGCACCACUGGAACUGAGACACGGUCCAUACUCCUACGGGAGGCAGCAGUGGGGAAUAUUUCACAAUGGGCGCAAGCCUGAUGCAGCCAUGCCGCUUGUAUGAAGAGGGCCUUCGGGUUGUAAAGUACUUUCAGCGGGGAGGCGUUACCCGCAGAAGAAGCACCGGCUAACUCCGUGCCAGCAGCCGCGGUAAUUC